rnacentral:rRNA from 1 species
GGCUCAGGAUGAACGCUAGCGGCAGGCUUAACACAUGCAAGUCGAGGGGUAGAAGUCUUCGGACUUUGAGACCGGCGCACGGGUGCGUAACGCGUAUGCAAUCUGCCUUUCACAGAGGGAUAGCCCAGAGAAAUUUGGAUUAAUACCUCAUAGUAUUAUGGAGUGGCAUCACUUUAUAAUUAAAGUCACAACGGUGAAAGAUGAGCAUGCGUCCCAUUAGCUGGUUGGUAAGGUAACGGCUUACCAAGGCUACGAUGGGUAGGGGUCCUGAGAGGGAGAUCCCCCACACUGGUACUGAGACACGGACCAGACUCCUACGGGAGGCAGCAGUGAGGAAUAUUGGUCAAUGGACGCAAGUCUGAACCAGCCAUGCCGCGUGCAGGAUGACGGUCCUAUGGAUUGUAAACUGCUUUUGUACGAGAAGAAACACUCCUAUGUAUAGGAGCUUGACGGUAUCGUAAGAAUAAGGAUCGGCUAACUCCGUGCCAGCAGCCGCGGUAAUACGGAGGAUCCAAGCGUUAUCCGGAAUCAUUGGGUUUAAAGGGUCCGUAGGCGGUUUAGUAAGUCAGUGGUGAAAGCCCAUCGCUCAACGGUGGAACGGCCAUUGAUACUGCUGAACUUGAAUUACUGGGAAGUAACUAGAAUAUGUAGUGUAGCGGUGAAAUGCUUAGAUAUUACAUGGAAUACCAAUUGCGAAGGCAGGUUACUACCAGUUUAUUGACGCUGAUGGACGAAAGCGUGGGGAGCGAACAGGAUUAGAUACCCUGGUAGUCCACGCCGU